rnacentral:rRNA from 1 species
GACGAACGCUGGCGGCGUGCUUAACACAUGCAAGUCGAACGGAAAGGCCCUGCUUUUGUGGGGUGCUCGAAUGGCGAACGGGUGAGUAACACGUGAGUAACCUGCCCUUGACUUUGGGAUAACUUCAGGAAACUGGGGCUAAUACCGGAUAGGAGCUCCUGCUGCAUGGUGGGGGUUGGAAAGUUUCGGCGGUUGGGGAUGGACUCGCGGCUUAUCAGCUUGUUGGUGGGGUAGUGGCUUACCAAGGCUUUGACGGGUAGCCGGCCUGAGAGGGUGACCGGCCACAUUGGGACUGAGAUACGGCCCAGACUCCUACGGGAGGCAGCAGUGGGGAAUAUUGCACAAUGGGCGGAAGCCUGAUGCAGCAACGCCGCGUGCGGGAUGACGGCCUUCGGGUUGUAAACCGCUUUCGCCUGUGACGAAGCGUGAGUGACGGUAAUGGGUAAAGAAGCACCGGCUAACUACGU